rnacentral:tRNA from 1 species
GGUCGGUUAGCUCAGUCAGUUGAGCGUGGUGCUAACAACACUAAGGUCGUGGGUUCAGUUCCUCUUCGAUCC